rnacentral:rRNA from 1 species
GACGAACGCUGGCGGCGUGCUUAACACAUGCAAGUCGAGCGAUGAAACUACUUCGGUAGUGAAUUAGCGGCGAACGGGUGAGGAACACGUGAGGAAUCUGCCUUCUACACUGGGAUAACUCCGGGAAACCGGGGCUAAUACCGGAUAUGAAACUUGGUGGCAUCACCGAGUUUGGAAAGUUUUUCGGUAGAAGAUGACCUCGCGGCCUAUCAGCUUGUUGGUGAGGUAAUGGCUCACCAAGGCGACGACGGGUAGCCGGCCUGAGAGGGCGACCGGCCACACUGGGACUGAGACACGGCCCAGACUCCUACGGGAGGCAGCAGUGGGGAAUAUUGGGCAAUGGAGGAAAACUCUGACCCAGCGACGCCGCGUGCGGGAUGAA